rnacentral:rRNA from 1 species
AUACGGGGGGUGCAAGGCGUUGUUCGGAAUUAUUGGGCGUAAAGCGCGUGUAGGCGGUUUGUUAAGUCUGAUGUGAAAGCCCUGGGCUCAACCCAGGAAGUGCAUUUGGAAACUGUCAGACUUGAAUACGGGAGAGGGUAGUGGAAUUCCUAGUGUAGGAGUGAAAUCCGUAGAUAUUAGGAGGAACACCGGUGGCGAAGGCGGCUACCUGGACCGAUAUUGACGCUGAGACGCGAAAGCGUGGGUAGC